rnacentral:rRNA from 1 species
GAUGAACGCUGGCGGCGUGCCUAAUACAUGCAAGUCGAGCGAACAGACGAGGAGCUUGCUCCUCUGACGUUAGCGGCGGACGGGUGAGUAACACGUGUAUCACCUACCUAUAAGACUGGGAUAACUUCGGGAAACCGGAGCUAAUACCGGAUAAUAUAUUGAACCGCAUGGUUCAAUAGUGAAAGACGGUUUUGCUGUCACUUAUAGAUGGAUCCGCGCCGCAUUAGCUAGUUGGUAAGGUAACGGCUUACCAAGGCAACGAUGCGUAGCCGACCUGAUAGGGUGAUCGGCCACAUUGGAACUGAGACACGGUCAAGACGCCUACGGUACGCAGCAGUAGGGAAUCUGACGCAAUGGGCGAAAGUUUGACGGAGCAACGCCGCGUGAGUGAUGAAGGUCUUCGGAUCGUAAAACCCUGUUACUAGGGAAGAACAAAUGUGUAAGUAACUAUGCCCGUCUUGACGGUACCUAAUCAGAAAGCAACGGCUAACUACGUG